rnacentral:tRNA from 1 species
GCAUUAGUAGCUCAGCGUUAGAGCACCAGUCUUGUAAACUGGACGCCGGGGGUUAAAAUCCCCUCUACUGC